GUGCUCGCUUCGGCAGCACAUAUACUAAAAACGGAACGCUAUGGAGAUUAACAUGGCCCUUGCCCAAGGAUGACACGCAAAUUUGUGAAGUGUUCCAUAUUGAA